rnacentral:lncRNA from 1 species
UCUCAUUCACUUUCUCACUCUCCCACUUUCCCACUCUCCUCAUUCAACCCACUUUCUCACUUUUCUCUCAUUCAACCGGUUGAAUUUUUUUCAACCCCUCUCUCCUCCAACUAAUUCAACCCCAAAAUUAAACCCACCAUUGCAACAUUUCAACUCAUCUUUUGGGGUUUAAACCUAACCAUUGUAAGUAGUCUAAGAAAUUAAGUUACUAGUCUGCUUAUUUGUGAUGUCAUGUGAUCUUUUAUUGGUAGAAACAAUCAAUGUAUGUAUAUGAAAUGAAAUUAAACUAUAAAAUAGUAUCCUUAAGUCCUAGCUACAUCCAUAAAAACAUAAGCCAACCAAGUUCCUUCAGAUUCCCACAAUACAAUCUCAGUAGUCUUGGUAUGAUGAAUGGUAGUUGCAUGCAAAUGAGCAUCCAACUCAUGGCAUAGAGAUGUUUGCUGCUGGUGUCAUAUUAUCAAAUCAUUUAUGCCAAAGUUGCAAAUGCAAGGGGGAUGAGUCUUCUGCCUCCCACUUCCUGUAAGUUCCUAUGAAAUUCAAAGUAGAAACUAUUUAUAAGUAUUAUUAUUAUUAUUAUAUGAAAUUCAAAGUAGGCUGUUAAAAUGUGUCAGCUAUGAUGCUAAUUUUGGCUAUUUCUAGAUUCCUUGAUGCAAUCCAAAGUGUAUUUAUCUAUUAGUAUAAUCAUUUGUGAGACUGUUGGAGACAAUUUACAAAAAUUGUUAUAGCAUAUUCAUAAGUUGUAAAUUGAAAUGUUUAUCUAAUCAGAGUCAUAAUGUUGUCCCACCAACUUACACGUUAUGGUUUGGAUAUGAUGCAAGUGUUCUUGCAGAAUGUGGGUGGCAAA